GCCAGGUGCAGUGGCGUUUGCCCGUGGUCCCAGCUACUUGGGAGGCUGAGGCAGGAGGAUCACUUGAGUCCAAGAGUUCUGGACUGUAGUACACUAUGUUGAUCAUGUGUUUGCACUAAGUUCAGCAUCAAUAUGGUAACCCCCCAGGAGUGGGGGAUCACCAGGUUGCCUAACCAGGGGUGAACCAGGCGUGGUCAGAAACAGCAGGUAAAAACUCCCCUGCUGAUGAAUACUAGGACUGCACCUGUGAACAGCUACUGCAUUCCUGGGCAACACAGUAAAACCUUGUCUCU
rnacentral:SRP_RNA from 1 species